rnacentral:lncRNA from 10 species
GUUUGCAUCCAAGAGAGGGGAGGACAGGGGCAAAAGGAUGCAGGGAGGCUGCUGAUUUCCACUGAAGAGCUAAUUUCCUGUGAGACAUUAACAGUGAUUUAAGAAAAAGAUUCCUGUAACUGGUUAAUGUCUUACAAUAACAGAAUGCAGGAGAGCACAUAUCAAUGAAGAAAAGACAAAAUGUACUUAUCCAUGAAGCUGAGGUUAAGAAACCAGUGUCUUCAAGAGCCAGGGACAGCACUGGGUCUGUGCAGAGUUGAGAGAUGGUGAUGACAUGUGGUUUCCAGCAUUCCUCACCCAGUCCAGGGACACUGUGGGUGUGCCCAGCUUAAGUCCAGUAACUGGAAAUACAAGCCCAAGUUCUGGAGAGUUUGAGCUGCAGAGAUAUAUAUGGGAACACUUUGAAUCUUGACUCAUUGGCCAUAACCAGCAGAGUGGAAAAUACAAGAAGAGAAAAAAACAUUGAACUGCGAUUUUAUAACAUCCUUUACUAGGCAGAGAGAAGAGGAAACACCAGGAAAGAAAACUGUAUUACGAUGUGAAAACUUAAUGUUGAGAAAUUCAGGCAUCUUGGGGUUAGUGAGGAGAAGUUUUAGGGGCUUAGAUUCUUCUAAACACAUGUACAGAAAUGCAUAUUUCAUCUGAUAUCAAAUGGCAUUUAUAGUGCUAAUCUUUACCUCAAGACUUCACAUCUUUUGGUGAUUGCAUCUUUUAGGUUUAUAGCAGCUAAGUUUGCAUGAAAACACCAGGGCUGUUUCAUUUCAGUCAAGAAUUAAUGUUCAUUGAUUGUGCUUCUGCAUUUCAUGUAACUAUUGUAGAAUUUGUUUUAGUUUUAUGAGGGAAUAAUUGUUCCAACUUCUAUAUAACUCAGGAAUUUACUCUCAAACAACACUGUCAAUUAGUUACUUAUCUCUCUGGAAAUGAUCUGGGAACAUGGAGAGGAAAGGGAGGAAGGGGCAAAAUCUGACCACUUAAAUCUAAGCAUAUUAGAUCAUUUUAUGCUAGAAAGUCCUGAAUGAUGUGACUUUCGUUCUUGUAAAACACCUCUUUCCAUAGAUUCAUGGCCCAAACAGUAUAUAAAGAGUGGGGAAGGAACUGCAUUUGCAAAUAGUUCAAAUCAUUGCUCCAUCUUAACUACGCAGUUCACAAAGUGUGAAGAAAUGUGAUCAUCUCAAAAAAGAUAAUGGGGAAAAAAUAUGUUUUGUUCUGUGACUUUAAAGUCUUGCAAUAUUUUACAUAAAUGAUAAUGGGUGCUUUAAUAAGAACUCUUGAUACUUUUGUUAUUGUAUUCAAUAUAUGCAUAUAAUACAACAGGAUGAUAUUGUUUUGGAUUUGGAAAUGUAUUCUUUCUUAUGCAAUCUUAUGCAGUCAUACUGCUUGAAUAUCAUUACCUGAAUUUAUCUUUCUUUUUUUUGUUGUUGUUUUACACUCUACUUAUUUGGUGCCUGUCAGUCUUUUGUCGUCAGUUUAUAUUCUACUAAACUCAAAAAGACAAUCUCAUACCUUUUGUAAUUGUAGGCAUUCUUUACUAGAUUUUUAAAUACACUUCAAAAAUUCAAGUACUUUGAUUUCAUGCCAUCAAGUAGCUGAAUCUAUCCCCCCGUCUCUUUUUAAAUUUAAGUGAGUAGUUCAAUUUCUGUCACUUUCUACUUUGUGAAUUCUAAAUCUUUUAAAACCAUCUUGCCAUUUUUCGUGCACUUACCCUUACAGAAAACUCUGUGAAACACUACUUAUCUCUACUUUUAUGUUUUUAACUCCUUUUUUAUAUUACUAUUCCCUCUGCUUUCUAAAUGCACAUAUUAAUUUGUUCUUUUUAUUCUCUGUAGCUCUUCUCAGUGUAUGAAUUCAGUUUCCCAUCAGUCUCCAUACAAUUAAAAAAAAGUUGAGUAUUCUGUUAUUUUAAUAAGAUAUCUAGUGCCCAUGGGGAUUCUUUAGAAGUCCAGCUUAAAUAAAGCCCGUAUAGAAAGUUUUUUUAAAAUUUAUACAUAAUCACCUAAAGUAACCUUAUCUACUGAACUCUUAGUACAUGCUACUGGAACCUUUUAUCAUGUUUCUUCCUGGCUUGCAUUACAACACUGUUGACAUAUCUCAGCCUUACUUCUAGGCUUCUUUGAGAGCAUGACUCAUGUUUGUAUUCCUCACUGAGGUUGAAUGAAUAAGAGAAACUACAGUAGUAGGAAAAAACAGUACAUGUACAUAUCAAUGAAUAUGAAAGGGUCAAAUGGAUCUAUUAUAGUAAGCACAAAAUCAACUGACACCAGCAAAGUAAACCCAAAAUUUUUAAUGGUAUUUUAAUAGAUCAAGAGGAGCAAGCAGAUUUUUGAGACAGUUGUCUCCUACUUUCUCUAUCACAGGGAGUAAUUUUAAAAGAAAAAUGGAGGGUAAGUUUCUUUAAGAGAAAAUUGUAGUUUAAAACAGGUCAUGGGAUAAUUAGAAAUAAUUUAAUUUCUUUAGAGGAUUUUAAUCUUUCAACUGCUUGCAAUUAGAUCCUAAGGCAAUAAAAGAAUAAGGAGAUUUGGAAAACCAUUGUCUGUAAUCUCUGAAGAAAAGUGGACAUUAGGGGAGUCAGUUGAAAAGCAAAGCUAUCACCAUUUUCUAAAGAGGAAAAAGGUGAACCUCACAAACUAUAGACCAAAAAAAUAGGACAUCGAGAGAAAGAAUAUGAAGCUAGCAUAGGUUCACAAAGAAUGAGUCAAAUCAAACAACAUGCAUUUUUUAUUUAUAAAGCAUGACUUGUUCAUUGUCAAUUCAUGUUAGCUUAAUCAUUAGGCAUUAAUGCCAUCACUGCAAUGCAUAUGUCAGCAAUAAAUAAUCAAAGACCAGGCUUCCAUCAUUCUGUUUAAUUAGUGACAGAGCUCCUUGCUGCUCAAAUUUUAUGCCAGAUAAAAUAUUCACCUUCUCGGACUCCCUGGCACCAGGCAUGGCCAUGUAAUGUCCUACAGCACAGCUGAUGAAAGAGAAGACAUCUUGCUGCUAUUUGACAAGCAAGAAGAUAAAAGCUUUCCUAUAAAGAUGAUGGAGCAAAAAAAUAGAAGGGGCCUAGACUCCCUACCUUCACACUUCCUGCUAUAAAAGCAUUGCUAUUAUAAGGUUAAUCUGCAGAAACAGACUUCUAUGUCAUAUGCUUAAAUGCAUCAAAAUUCAUACAAUAUCCAUUAAAUUGGUAAAAGUAUCCAUUUUAAAGGAUUAAUCUGAGGGACCCACAGACACUUAACACAAUCAAAUCUCAGAAAAAAAAUCAGUUAUUUCAUUGUGAUUUUGAGGCUGAUCUUUUAUGAUCUUUUAGUUAUCAAACUGUUAAAUACAUUUUAACUUUCAAAUUUUAUGAAUAAAGGAGAUGAAUCCUGUUAUU